AGUGAACGCUGGCGGUAGGCCUAACACAUGCAAGUCGAACGGCAGCACAGUAAGAGCUUGCUCUUACGGGUGGCGAGUGGCGGACGGGUGAGGAAUACAUCGGAAUCUACUUUUUCGUGGGGGAUAACGUAGGGAAACUUACGCUAAUACCGCAUACGACCUACGGGUGAAAGCAGGGGAUCUUCGGACCUUGCGCUAUUGAAUGAGCCGAUGUCGGAUUAGCUAGUUGGCGGGGUAAAGGCCCACCAAGGCGACGAUCCGUAGCUGGUCUGGGAGGAUGAUCAGCCACACUGGAACUGAGACACGGUCCAGACUCCUACGGGAGGCAGCAGUGGGGAAUAUUGGACAAUGGGCGCAAGCCUGAUCCAGCCAUACCGCGUGGGUGAAGAAGGCCUUCGGGUUGUAAAGCCCUUUUGUUGGGAAAGAAAAGCAGCAGGUUAAUACCCCGCUGUUCUGACGGUACCCAAAGAAUAAGCACCGGCUAACUUCGUG
rnacentral:rRNA from 1 species